rnacentral:rRNA from 1 species
CAGCCGCCGCGGUAAGACAGAGGAUGCAAGCGUUAUCCGGAAUGAUUGGGCGUAAAGCGUCUGUAGGUGGCUUUUCAAGUCCGCCGUCAAAUCCCAGGGCUCAACCCUGGACAGGCGGUGGAAACUACCAAGCUGGAGUACGGUAGGGGCAGAGGGAAUUUCCAGUGGAGCGGUGAAAUGCGUUGAGAUCGAAAAGAACACCAACAGCGAAAGCACUCUGCUGGGACGACACUGACACUAAGAGACGAAAGCUAGGGGAGCAAAUGGGAUUAGAUACCCGGGUAGUCCCUGUCUCUUAUAC